GACAGAGGGUGCAAACGUUGCUCGGAAUUACUGGGCGUAAAGCGUGCGCAGGCGGUUUUGUAAGCCAGAUGUGAAAGCCCCGGGCUCAACCUGGGAAUGGCAUUUGGGACUGCAAGGCUGGAGUUUGGCAGAGGAGACUGGAAUUCCCGGUGUAGCAGUGAAAUGCGCAGAUAUCCGAAGGAACACCGGUGGCGAAGGCGGCUUCCUGGACCGACACUGACGCUGAGGCGCGAAAGCUAGGGGAGCAAACGGG
rnacentral:rRNA from 1 species